ACUAAAUGGGACAAUGUGCCACCGUUUGAAAAGUAAUCUCUUCACCUCCACGCUUCCAUUCACCUCCUCCAAUGAUUCCUUUCCUCUAAUGCUUCCUUACUUUCUCAAUACACUACCUCCAUCACCUCUCUCUACCCAACAACCCAAUAUAUCAACAUUUGCCCGUUUCGCCACCGCUCCUCUAUAAUUGAUCAAUUGAUGGGUUUCUUUGCAGAUAAGAAGCAUAAUCGUUGUUUCAUAUUGAUGCCCUAACUCCAUACCACCGGUUUUCUAUGAACUGUUUGCUCCCCAUAUUCUAAUUUAGGUUUUGAUAACUGAUAAUCCAUUUCGGACCUUCACUCUGACGCUCUUAUCUUCCCUGGCUUUCUUUGGAUGGUAUGACUGCUCCUUAUUUUCAGUUCUUCAUUUCGCUCUCUGCAAACCUUGUCUCUUAGUUAAGCCAUUAAUCCAAAUUUAAAUCUAUACCUACAUCUUCGUCCAACCAUCUAGGUUUUGUUGAGGAUUGGAACACCACACAAUUAUAAGUUUUGGAAUCUCUUUUGACAAUCUAUGGUUUCAUAUUAAAAGCAAAUUAGAGAGAGACGAGUCUACCACUGCUAUUUACUCGGAUCAUUAUCCUCAAAAUUAUGCUAUUUCCUAUAUUGGAACGGAUAUCAGUCAACCAGAAAUACAUGCUCAUGCACAGGUAAGGUCUUUAAUCUCUAAAAAUACAGAUCGUAAUUCCCUCUCUAAUCUCUAUUUAGUUUUGGAAUAUUAUUAAUAUAAUGGUUGUUAGUAAGAAAUCAAAAACUUAUCUUAUGGGUUGAAGAUUUCACCCAAGCUAAGCCAAUAUCGAUAUUAAAUUUGAGUCUGUGAUGAUUCUUGGAUAUUUUCACCAACAAACAAUAUGCAAUUUUGUUAAGUUGGGGCUUUUGUUGAACUAUUAUCUGGGGAGUAUUUUUUAUACCAAUUGAUUGGUUUAAUGUUGAGAAUAGUCGGUUCAAUUGUAUCCAUAAGCCUAAAUAUUUUGAUGCUCACUGUUUUGAUGAAGUUACAAAAGCUAUGGUUGCCCAAUCUGCUUAUAAUUGUGAUAAUUGAAAAUAUGAUUUUUUUUUUACUUCAUUAUGAUAUCCAGCAAACACGGAUUGGUUUUUGAUAGUCGACUAAAUCUCAUAACCUACUUAGGUUACGAGAUUUCAAGUUGCUUUUUGUGUUAUAUACUUUGGAAGAGUGACGAUUUUAGUUUUUUAGUUGCAAGGUCAGCUCUUAUGCCCUGCAAAGUGUUUUCUGAUAUGUACAGUUUGAUAUAUGCAUGUUUUUAUAUUUAGUAUAAUCGCAUAGAUACAAUUUUAUGACCCAAUAAGAUAUGAGAAUAUGAAAUUUGAUGUGAAGAGACUUAAGAAAACUUAUCUUUAUUGUCCUGCCAAAAUUGAAAAUACAUUUUCUGAUGGUUUAUGUUCUUUUUCAACAUCUGCAGUAAUAUACUGUACAAACAAAAACGAUGACCGAAGAACGAGAAGUACAUCCAGAUUGUAGAAAUUGUUCAAUUUUCUCUGUCGACUUAGUACAUAUAAAUUAUGUUAAAGAAAAUAAAUUGCAAUCACAUACUUUGUUUAAAAAAUAAUACUGUACAAAAGUAAAUUUAUUCGAGUAAAUUUAAGUCUUGAGAGUAGAAUACUUGAUGACUUUAUCUACAAAACUGACAAGAUCAUUUGUUAACACCUUUAGUUCAUAUACUUUUUGAGUUAUUGUAGACGAAGUUACAAGGUGACAAACUAUAAGGUGGGACCACCUUUCUGUGGCUAUAGAGAUCAACGUUUAAAUUUGGCGUGCACAUGUUAUUCUGGGAAGUUGGGAGCCGGUAUUUUAGCUGAAGCGGGUCCAUAUAAUGCUGCUUUCACAAUUUCUGGAGUAAGUUCUCGCUUACUUUGUGCAACAGUUACAAGUUUCAGAUAAUUAUCGAACUCUAUUCGACUAAGGUAACCAUUUCGAUUUGUAUCAACACAUUGCCAUAUGUGAGCCAGAACGGACUUAGGUAAACCAGAGGCUUGAAAAAAGGGAAGAGCUUCAGCGCCACUAACAUGCCCAUCGUGAUCUAAAUCUGCUCUUUUAAAGUACAUUUCGAAUAAAUCUGUAUUCAUUACAUUAAGUCCCAUAUUUAGCAAAAUACAAGAUCAAGGAUCAAUAAAUUAGAGUAAGCAAAUCCAAAGAUUGAGGAAAAAGAUAAGACUUCAAGUUUUUAUGUUGCGUGCUUAUGUAAACCCCGUUAUUUCUUACAUAAUUGAUAGUUUUGCUGCA